UACGAAGGGGGCUAGCGUUGCUCGGAAUCACUGGGCGUAAAGGGUGCGUAGGCGGGUCUUUUAAGUCAGGGUGAAAUCCUGGAGCUCAACUCCAGAACUGCCUUUGAUACUGAAGAUCUUGAGUUCGGGAGAGGUGAGUGGAACUGCGAGUGUAGAGGUGAAAUUCGUAGAUAUUCGCAAGAACACCAGUGGCGAAGGCGGCUCACUGGCCCGAUACUGACGCUGAGGCACGAAAGCGUGGGGAGCAAACAGGGAUUAAGAUACCC
rnacentral:rRNA from 1 species